rnacentral:rRNA from 1 species
UAGGGAAUCUUCCGCAAUGGGCGAAAGCCUGACGGAGCAACGCCGCGUGAGUGAUGAAGGUCUUCGGAUCGUAAAACUCUGUUAUUAGGGAAGAACAAAUGUGUAAGUAACUAUGCACGUCUUGACGGUACCUAAUCAGAAAGCCACGGCUAACUACGUGCCAGCAGCCGCGGUAAUACGUAGGUGGCAAGCGUUAUCCGGAAUUAUUGGGCGUAAAGCGCGCGUAGGCGGUUUUUUAUGUCUGAUGUGAAAGCCCACGGCUCAACCGUGGAGGGUCAUUGGAAACUGGAAAACUUGAGUGCAGAAGAGGAAAGUGGAAUUCCAUGUGUAGCGGUGAAAUGCGCAGAGAUAUGGAGGAACACCAGUGGCGAAGGCGACUUUCUGGUCUGUAACUGACGCUGAUGUGCGAAAGCGUGGGGAUCAAACAGG